ensembl:lncRNA
GUUCAAUACAGUUGAACCCUGCUGGAAACACCAGGAUGAAUUCUCCAACCCUGAGGGAAGAGGAGACAGAAACCCACCUCUGCUCCCACACCCUGACAACAGACCAGUUGAGAGGCCGCCCUGAGAGACAACUCUAGCCCGUAAAAGUCUUCUUUGGUAGUGCCUUCCCAACCAUUCUCUAAACCCAGCCAUCCCACCUUCCACUUCCUGGUCCAUCCAUCCAUCCGUCAGGUCCCCCAUGGCAAACUCCAUAGCCCCCUUUUUCCUGCCCCGAGUGGCGGACCUCAGCCUGCCCCCCUGUGGAGAGACGCAGUGCAAUGGGAGGGGAACUUGCAAGGACCCCAUAGCAGGAGGAGGAGGAAGCUUCUGUGACUGCAUGCUAGGAUACAAGGGGGAUAGGUGCGAGGACACGGUGAACGAUUCCCUGAGUGUGUCCCUGACCCUCGGGGUGCUGGCCUUCAUCGUGGGAUUCAUCCUCAUCGCCUUCCUCGUCGCCAAGAUCCGACAGAGGCAGAAGAAGAGGAAGAGGUCAGAGUUAAUAACCAGGGGAUACCGGGUGGAUGUGUGACCGGGAGGUCUGAGCACGAUGCGCAGCGUGGACCAGAACAAUUCAGAACGAUCACAAAACUGACUGAAGAUCAUUGAGACCUGACCGAUGAAAACCACCAACAUACAACAUUAGUGCUGUAAUACCGAUCACUAUGACCAUUGUUGCUUUUCUUUACAUGCAGUCAACUGUGUUUUCACCUUACCAUGAUGUGUAGUAUUUAUCAGACAUGCAAAGGCUUUGUAAGCAAAGGUAGAUGUGUGUCCUAAACUAGUUCCCUGCAUUGUAUUUGCAUCCCAUCAUAUUUAACAGGAGUCAAUACUUGAAAAACCAGUUCGUCUUCAUUUAACAUGAGGUCUCCUGUGAUUGGCUGGAGCUAGCUGGGAACUAGGGGACCGUCUGAUUGGUCCGCGCAGUUAUGAAAUAUUUUUCAUGUUUAAAAGAAAACAUUUCACGUUAUUGAUCACUUACCUUCCGUUAAAUGUUCUUUAUAGUUAAUUUUGCUAUUUAGUGGUUCUGUGCUAAACUAGCUGUAGGCUAUAAAACAUAUGUUUAUGCUUUUAUACAUUAUUCAAUGCUCUAUUUAGUUUUUGUAUUUCCCAUUAAAAUAUUCCUGAGUAAGGAUUAUAUCUGUUGGUCCUUUUAUUUGAAUGCAAACAUGACAAUAAAAUGCCUUGAUUUGAAAGACGUGUUUAACAUUGUACAACAGCUCUUAUUUUAACAGCUUGGAUUAGUGCUGGUUGUUCAACUCUUAUUUUGACUGUUUAGCGCUAGUGUUUCUUGAGCAACUCAUAUUUUCAAUGACUUGUCUUUCAUGUAGAGACUGUAGUGUUGGAAUAAAAUGCAAAAUUUGCAGUUUUUGAUUGUAAAAGAAUGAGGCUGAUGGUGUUCCAAUCAUCAGUAUCAGUGUCAAGUAUCAGUGUUUACUAAAUAAUGAAACUUGGCACAAAGAACGACUAAACCUAUUUAUUAGCCAUUUACAUGAGCUGAAUACUCUACUCUUUGAUAUACAAAGACUAGAACCCCUCAACCUGCAAUUUUAUUGCGUGCUCUGAUUAUAGAUUGAGGGAUUGGAAUAUAUCUCUGCAGUGUUUGUGCCUGUCCACCAGCCAGUGAAGCCUCACCCCUCUAAGGUGUGAGAGAAGUCCAGUUCUCACAGCACUGCUUUGUUCAGACCCGGGGUGAGGUGGCUCUGUCAGAGGACUCAGUGAACCAGUAGGCCUGCAUUGCAUGCAUACUUGGAGCGUUGUUCCAACAGCGUCUCGGAAGAUAUGGCAUGUACACAACUCCUGCAGUGCAGAUAUUUACAAACCCCUUCCUGUGCUGGUCCACGUUGUCGGGGAGAUGAAGGGCUUUGUGCUAACGUUAGACCUGAAUCUAUCCCUCGUUAGGUUAACGUUGUUUCUGGCUUAAUUAAUGUGUGUGUGUGUGUGUGUGUGUG